rnacentral:rRNA from 1 species
UCCGGCGGUUACAGCGAAAGGGUCACACCUGUUCCCAUUCCGAACACAGCAGUUAAGCCUUUCUGCGCCUAUGGUACCUGGAGGGCGACCUCCCGGAAGAGCAGGUCACUGCCGGAU